rnacentral:sRNA from 1 species
AGUGGCGUUCGGCGGGACCCGCUGAGGCAAAGCGGAGCCGCAGUGACAGAAGCAAGCGGAGCGGCCGCCAGGAAGGACUCACCGAGGCGCAGGGGCUGGAGGUGGUGCUGGGGGAAAAUGGAAAAGAAGACAAAGAGAGGAAAUGGAACUUAACUGAAGUGAAAGAGCUUCAUGAGACUUUACAGAGUGUGCCAGAUGUUCCUGUAAAAGAGGCCACCAACAAUGUGGUGGAGAAAGCAAUGGAUGAAAUCAAAUCCCAAGAGUAUCCAAGAUGAAGGAGAAUGUUAAACAGAAUAGAAAACAAAGAGAAAGCAUAGACAAAAUCAAAGUCAAGGUGGCCAACACACGGAAACAGGCUCUGCAGGAGCAAUUCGAUGAAUGGAUUCUAGACCCUAAAGGAAUGAUUCCUAAAUCAGUGUUGCAGAUUCAGAAUGUUCUUCAUGAAUUCUUUCAAAAUCCAGAUUUCAAGCUUGGAUCACACUGCAAACAACUGGAUAUUACUGACUCAACAGAACCAAGAUUGAAUAAAAUGGAAUUUACAGAA